rnacentral:rRNA from 1 species
UACGAGGGCCUCAAGCGUUAUCCGGAAUCAUUGGGCGUAAAGGUUGUGUAGGUGGUUAUAUUAGUCUUCUGUUAAAUUCUUCGGCUUAACCGGGGGCAUGCAGAGGAAACGGUAUAACUUGAGGAUGCGAGGGGUCUGCGGAACUCAUAGUGUAGCGGUGAAAUGCGUAGAUAUCGAGAGGAACACCUGCGGCGAAGGCGGGUUGCUGGGCUGACACUGACGCUGAGGCGCGAAAGCUAGGGGAGCGAACGGG